CCCUUUAGACGGGGACAACAUUCCGAAAGGGAUGCUAAUACCGGACGUGACGCUCCUAUCGCAUGACGGGAGCGUGAAAGAUGGCCUCUACAUGUAAGCUAUCGCUAAAGGAUGGGCCUGCGUCUGAUUAGCUAGUUGGUAGUGUAACGGACAACCAAGGCGAUGAUCAGUAGCCGGUCUGAGAGGAUGAACGGCCACAUUGGGACUGAGACACGGCCCAG
rnacentral:rRNA from 1 species